CGGACGGGCGAGUAAUGUCUGGGAAACUGCCUGAUGGAGGGGGAUAACUACUGGAAACGGUAGCUAAUACCGCAUAAUGUCGCAAGACCAAAGAGGGGGACCUUCGGGCCUCUUGCCAUCGGAUGUGCCCAGAUGGGAUUAGCUAGUAGGUGGGGUAACGGCUCACCUAGGCGACGAUCCCUAGCUGGUCUGAGAGGAUGACCAGCCACACUGGAACUGAGACACGGUCCAG
rnacentral:rRNA from 1 species